GGGGGUGACUGGCUUCGACUUCGGUAGUUAGGCCAGGAGAAGCGGGCCGAGGGUUGUGGUUGCGACCUCGUAAAUCCCGUGACCGCAAAAAAACAAGCGCCAAGACACAGCGCUCUCUCGCCCUCGCGGCCUGACCGCGAGUAACGCGGGUGUCAGCCCGGGGCCGCCUCCGCUCCGGUGACUGGCAUCGUUAAGGAGGCUCACCUGCCGGCCCGGCCGCGGGGCUAGGCAGGGACAGCACACAGCGGCUGGGCUUGUCGACGGCUUGCCUGCGUGACCGUCGGGGCCGAGCAAAACGACUAGCAGGCUGCGCCCGGAGAAGGCCUGGGUUGGUGCCGAAGGACGCGGGUUCGAUUCCCGCCACCUCCACCU
rnacentral:tmRNA from 1 species